CGCGGAGACAUUCUUGGUCAUUUAGAGGAAGUAAAAGUCGUAACAAGGUCUCCGUAGGUGAACCUGCGGAGGGAUCAUUACACAAAUAUGAAGGCGGGCUGGAACCUCUCGGGGUUACAGCCUUGCUGAAUUAUUCACCCUUGUCUUUUGAGUACCUUCGUUUCCUCGGCGGGUCCGCCCGCCGAUUGGACAACAUUCAAACCCUUUGCAGUUGCAAUCAGCGUCUGAAAAAACAUAAUAGUUACAACUUUCAACAACGGAUCUCUUGGUUCUGGCAUCGAUGAAGAACGCAGCGAAAUGCGAUAAGUAGUGUGAAUUGCAGAAUUCAGUGAAUCAUCGAAUCUUUGAACGCACAUUGCGCCCCUUGGUAUUCCAUGGGGCAUGCCUGUUCGAGCGUCAUUUGUACCUUCAAGCUCUGCUUGGUGUUGGGUGUUUGUCUCGCCUCUGCGUGUAGACUCGCCUUAAAACAAUUGGCAGCCGGCGUAUUGAUUUCGGAGCGCAGUACAUCUCGCGCUUUGCACUCAUAACGACGACGUCCAAAAGUACAUUUUUACACUCUUGACCUCGGAUCAGGUAGGGAUACCCGCUGAACUUAAGCA
rnacentral:rRNA from 1 species